ensembl:snoRNA
UUUGUAAUGUGUGCAUAGUUUUCAUCUAUGUUUGCUAGCAGUAUCCAUGUUUUGCAUUCAGAUCUUGCUAUCCACACAGUCAUCAUGCAGCCAAAGAGUAACUUGGGAUCAUAGUCCUGGUCUAGUGUUGUCUUUUCUGACACAUCUGCCACUGGCCAGCCUCCAAAUUCCUACACAUAA